CGUCGGUGUCGCACGGUCAUAAGUGGAGAAGAUCGGUCGUUGUUUGCUUGUCAAUGGGUGUUGCGGUUUGGAGUGUGAUGUUUGCGUUGUCGUUCGGCUUCAGUUUCCUGUCUUGGAUAUAUGGUGAUUUGAAUUUGUUUUCUUCUUCUUUUGUUUUCAGAUUUUAUAUUAUUUUGUUUUAAUGGAAAUGAAGGGUGUAAAUGGUGAGAUGAUGAUUAAUGUGGAUUGUGUUUGUUUAUGGAUUUAUGGUUGGAAAAGUUGUAUGUUUUUUUUUCUUCAUGAAUGGUUUUAUGUGGUGAAGAGGUUUUGAAGUUGAAUUUGUGUGAUGUUUCCACUGUUAUGGAGUUUUGAUGGUGUUUAUGGAUAUUGUGUGUUGUUUGUUGAUGUAAUUUUUGAUGAACAUGGAUGAAA
rnacentral:lncRNA from 1 species